GAUGAACGCUGGCGGCGUGCCUAAUACAUGCAAGUCGAGCGAACGGACGAGAAGCUUGCUUCUCUGAUGUUAGCGGCGGACGGGUGAGUAACACGUGGAUAACCUACCUAUAAGACUGGGAUAACUUCGGGAAACCGUAGCUAAUACCGGAUAAUAUUUUGAACCGCAUGGUUCAAAAGUGAAAGACGGUCUUGCUGUCACUUAUAGAUGGAUCCGCGCUGCAUUAGCUAGUUGGUAAGGUAACGGCUUACCAAGGCAACGAUGCAUAGCCGACCUGAGAGGGUGAUCGGCCACACGGGAACUGAGACACGGUCCAGACUCCUACGGGAGGCAGCAGUAGGGAAUCUUCCGCAAUGGGCGAAAGCCUGACGGAGCAACGCCGCGUGAGUGAUGAAGGUCUUCGGAUCGUAAAACUCUGUUAUUAGGGAAGAACAUAUGUGUAAGUAACUGUGCACAUCUUGACGGUACCUAAUCAGAAAGCAACGGCUAACUACGUG
rnacentral:rRNA from 1 species